CUGCGGUCAGUUAAGCCAACUGUGUUCCUUUGCUGGUGGGUACCCAGUGUGCAGUGCCUGCCAGCAGCAGCCUCCUCAGCAGUAUAUGAGGCCUGUUGCUUGUAUGGGCCGCCCUAAGGGAACUUGGAGACCCUG
ensembl:snoRNA SNORA70 Small nucleolar RNA SNORA70